UGCCGUUGCUCAUGUUAAUUCUUUUUUAUUUACUGUGUGGGUUUCUUAAGACAAUCAUUAAAAAGUUAGUCAUGUGACCGCACAAAAUAUAUAUUAAUUAAUAAUUACAGACAUUAUAUUUUGUGAAGGUCACUGCAGUCUGAACCUGGUGAAUCAAAGAAAGGUUUUUUUGGUAUGAAAUAAAUUGUGUGUUUGUUUGUGGCAACAUGGCAUAGAGUGCCUGCUUAGCAAUGGACAGCAAUUGCUUUGUAUUGCAAACAAAACGUUUGUUGUUCUUCUUCUUUUUCCUAUUCCGCCCCAAAUUUCACUGCAAAACUUAGUGUGCUAUGACUUUUAUAAGCAUUUUGGGUAACCAUGGCAACAACAAUCGCAAAAAACUGAAGAAUUUCACUUGUUCACCUAAAUCAUCAUUUUGGUUCAUAUUAUGGUUUUUAAACAAUCGCAGUUUAAGUUUUGUCCUUUUUUUGGACGAUUUUAUAAUGAGUGUGUAUUGCAUGGCUACAGUGGCACACUUAGCUGAGGAGGAGCAGGAAUCACAAACAUGUGUGUUGUUUUCAUAUGGCUUGAAGUUUUAAAGCUUGAUUCCACAAAAAUACUUCUUUCAGGCCUGGUCCAAGUUCUCUGUGGAAUUUUCUAGUUUAUUUAAUAACUGAUGAAUGCUGAUGGUUUGCUUAGUUAAUUGAUUUGUUAAAUGUGAGAGCAUUAUAAUGAAAAUAAAACUUGAUAGUUUCCUAUAGCCUGGACAAUUCUGCUGGUAUAUUAAAGCUGUAGUGUGUAACUUUUAACGUUUAACUAU